rnacentral:lncRNA from 1 species
UCAUCCCAAAGACGAAGAAUCAUGGCCCCAGAAGAAGACAUGGAUGAUAUAUCCUCUAAAUGAAUAUUAGAGUUUACACCAAGUCCUAAGAUAUAGAACAUGUGAACUAAGAUUGUACCAACUCCUGAACUAACAACUCCAUUCUUUAGGUACUCAUUUGUUGAUGGCACCACUCCAGAAGCAAACCAUUUUGCUUCUUUUAAAAAUGCAUUGCACAAAUUUCCCCACUAAAAUUCAAAAAAUAAUAGUAACAAUUAUGAGUAUAAUAAUAUAUAAUAAAGUAUAUAUUGAGAAAAUAAUUCAUUUGUCUUAUUUUAUAUGACAUAUUUUAGUUCAAAAAAGAGUGGAACAUCUUUAAUAUAUGUAUAUAUAGUACCGUAUUCCGUAGAUUUUGAGUGGGGUUUUGUCCAUAGAUUUUGUAGACAUUAUAGCCAAUGGAAUUAAUUGUAUUAUAAAGAGCCUUGUAAGUUGAUCUCAUGUAUUCUGGUAGGUCCGUCAUGGCGUUUAAUUCCCACCUAAAAUAAUAAUAAUAGCCUUUAAGGUUAUAGACCAACAAAAAAAAAAUAACGACAUUUUACACUAUCAGAUCAUUUUAAUCUCAAAUAAAAUACCUAUUGACGGCUUGAGUGAAAAGGGUUAACUCUUCAAUAGUCCCAUAAACAUCAAAGAUAUCAUCAAUGACAUAAACAAAAGAAAUACAUUUUGCUAGCUCAAUUCUUUGUUGUGACAUUCUUGGAUCUUGAAGGACUGCCAUUGGCCAAGUAUACCAUUUUAAUGGUUGAUCUCUCAAAAGCUUCAAUUCUUCAGCUAAACCAGAGAGAGAGAGAGAGAGAGAGAGAGAGAGAGAGAGAGAGAGAGAGAGAGAGAGAUAGAGAGAGAGAGAGAGAGAGAGAGAGAGAGAGAUAGUAUAAAGAUUUUGUAUGUUAUAUAUUAACGGAAAAAAGAAAGAUUUGGAUCAAGACCUCCAACAUUCUAAAAAGUGAGAAAGACAUUUUGAUAUUCAAUCGAGACCUUGUAGGAACUUGUGAUCAGUAGGGGCGGAGUUAGAAGUCUAGGUCUAAAUUCGAUUAAAUUCAAUAGCUUUUGCUCAAAUAGUGUAUUAGUAUUAAGAAUUUUAUUAAAUAUGGAUAAAUAUUAAGUUUAGAACCUAAUUUGUUAAACUUGAUCGUCAUUUUAAAUUCAAAAUCCAUAAGAUUAAAAUUCUGAUUUUGUGUCUGGUGAUUACUGCUUUUAAACUUGUUUGUAGCAUGUAAAUUGGCUUAUUUUAGGUUAUUAAUUCGAUUUUUUUAAUAACCUAUAGCUUUGUGAGUUUAAUUUUAUAUAUAAAGAUAGUUAAAGGAUUUUUGCAACAUCAAGUCCCCUAAAAAUAAGAUUAAUAACCUAGAAAGUAAAAUAAGUUAAAAUAUAAUGGUGGUAUCAAACUCCAUUAUACUCUAUAUCAGUAUAAAUAAGUUAAAUGCUUAAUUAUAGGUAAUCUGAUAGUGUAAAACUCUUAUACUGUUAGUGUAUAAUAGUUAAAUUCAACUAAUUAAUAUACCUGGAAACUUGAGCCAAUUCAUGUUGAUGUAUCUCUUUUGUUAUGGAGUAGUCCAUAUUUGCCAAUUCUUGUAAGGUGCUUCUUCCCCAUCCAUUAAUUCCCUUAAAGUUAUUGAUGAAGCUUUUGGCCUUGCAACUUGCUAAACUCUUAUGGUAUGGAUACUUCAAUGUUUCUUUAAUAAUUCUAGCUUCAUCACAUGAGUCACUAUUUGCAAGACAUGCAUUUAGGUGAUCACCACUAAAAUUUGCAACUUCAUCAAGUAUGUGUUCACCUUCUACACCAAGUUGUGAUGCUUCAUAUAAACCAAUUAAUCCAUUUACAUCAUCUUGGCUAAGGUUUAAUCCAAAUGUCCCAUCAUCAUUGUUCUUGAAUCUUUUAAAUACAUCUGCCCAAUGCAAUAUAAGGUUGUUAGAUUAAAAUAUUUCAAAUCGAGGAUUAACUUUUAUAUACAAUGUGAAUGUAGUACUACAAUAAUUUAGAAAUAUUGGACUUCAAUGGAAAACCAAUUACCUGCUGACACGUGGUAACCUUCUUGUCUCAAAAGUCUGAAACAAAGUGAAAUAUCAUGAUGGUUUUGAUAUUUGUAAAAACAAGCACUUUGCUCAUAUUCCUUUUGUAAAAUUGAUUGAAUCUCUUCUUGAAAAUGGUGUUCAAUUCCCAUACGUUGAAGUGCAUCCACUAAAACAAGAUCGUUAGUACUAUUUAUUUGUGUCCUUAGUGCAUACUUUACAUCCUUCACAAGUAGUCCAAAUUUGGUACUAUUGAAUCCAUCCUGCAUUAGUAAUUAAGUAUUUUCUUAGUAUAAAAAAAACAAGAAUGGGAAAAUACUAUUUAUGGUGCAUCUUUCCCCUUUGUAUUAGUAGUAAGGUUAUCAAAAGGAUUUCUGAUUGGGCGGUUACUUUGCGAUAUUGUGUCAAUUCAAGUUUCGAACUUGUGCAGAUUUGAUUUUCUCUGAGAUCUCGAGAAUUCUUUAGUAAAGGCAUGGCUUAAGCCCACUCGGGACGGGAGAUUUUUCAACUACUAUUAUAAUUACAGCUCGUACAACCUUAAGGAAUCGAGACUAGUCUAAUAAGUUACUAGCUUUAUAGUUUGUUUUCUACUGAAUUACAUAAUUGAUUUAACUUACAUAGUGCAACAGUACGGUAUUGACACUCCUUUAUUGGAAAUUACAUCGUAUAAAUAGAUUUACUUUUAUAUAUAUAUGUUUGUCGCGUUAUGAAUUUUUAUUCAGAAUUUGUAUCAUUUAAUGAUGCUAUGUGAAUUGCUAGAAAAAUAUGAAGUAUAUUACUAGCUCAAUAACAAAAGUUUUAUAUGGGGAUUAGAAAAGACUACCAUGAUACAAAAGUAUAUUACAAGCUCAAUAAUAUAAACAAAAGAGAUGCAUUUUGCUAGCUCAAUGUUAUGUCUCAACUUACUUCAUGAAUCUUUAACUUAUACACGGAUAAUAUAUUUUAUGUAUGAUAGGAUAAAAUUAUCUAAUAUUAUCAAUUUAUAAAAGUUAAAAUCUUACGUUAUAGUAGCUUGUUUGAAGAUGAGAGGUUUCUUUAAAAAGAUCUUCUUGAACAUUCCAUUUGUUAGAGCUCCUGCAUGAAACUUGAAUACUUCUUUUGCUUCCAAUUUGGCAAAGAUAUAAUUGUGAAGGGUAGAAAGCUAUAGUAAUAUUUGCCAUGAAAGAUAAUUUAAUAUAUACAAAUAUUUCCCUGCCCAGUUUUCUUUUACCUUUGUCUCUUUCUCGUUAUAUACAUACACAAAUUAUACAAUUGAUCUUUUGUAUACAACUGCUUUCUUUUGUAUAUGUAUAGCGAAUUAUACAUAUAUAUGUUUGCUAUGGAGCGCAAUUAUGCAAACUUUGCUAUAGCAUACAAAUAUGAAUUUUGUGUUUGCUAUAUGUGAAAGUUGCUCUAAAAUUAUCUAUGAUUAAUUAUUUACUGAUCUCCACAAGUUGACUAUUAUAAUUAUUUUUUCUAAAGAAGUUGAUCUAUUGAGGUCGGUAUUUAUAUUUAUUUAUUUUUGAUAAAUAUCUCGACUUGGUCAACAAUAAAAAAAUUUCAUCAGUAAUAAAUAUGUCGACUUGGAAGUAGUUAUUUCGUAAGAAAUUACUAAAAAAUGUGCUUGAGUGAUAAGUAUAUUUUGACUAUGUAUUUUAGAUUUAUGAUUCAAUUCCUAUAAGUACUUUUUUUAUAUAAUGAUGUUUUACUUUCAGAGUGAAUAUUGUUAAUAAUUAAUCGAAUCUAAAAAUAAUAUUGAUUACUAAAUGAAGAAAUAAGUAGAAUAAAAGAAUGUCAACAUAGAGGACAAGCGUGAAACACAUUUACAACGAUUUUUUGCACAUAAGUAUCACGUGUGGUCAAUAGUGACGACGAUAGUGAAGUGGUUAAAGUAAGCAUACAAUAAAUAACUAAUAUAUUUUUUUAUCGAAAAGAUUCGAACAUGUCAAAUCUACCUAGCUUCGCCCUGGUAUGCAAUGGGCAAUCUCAGUAACAUGCUUCUAUCAAAGCAGUAAAACUCGACCAUCGUCUCAGUAAAGUAGCUCAUAGAUAUAGGAUACGAACGAUUAACAGUUCUUGCUAAAAAAAAGGUAGGGUUGUUCGCAAUCGAAUUGAAUAAUACAAAUUGAAAAAAAGUUAUUUGAUUUAUUGAUAAUGAAUUAUUGAUUUAGUAGUUUAGAUAACGAUUUUGAUUUUUUUAAUUAUCGGUUCUUAACGGUUUAAGAUUUUUUCUUAGUAGGUUAACCAUAAUCUGAUAGUAAAUUAAUAAAUUAUAUUUAUCAUUCGAUAUAUAAAGUCUUUGACUUAGGAUUUAGUUUCAUACUUUUAUUUUUUGUUGUCUCAACUCUUAGUUAUUUUACAGUGUAGUAGUGUUUGCUUUUGAGCAAGACGCAAACUAUCAACUCAUGUACCUAGUUCAUUUGGUUUGUCACCUUGAUUCCAAGUGAUCUUCAAUGAUUAUUUGGUUUAAUCAAUUAUGUUGGUUAUAAAAGUUAGACCAACAUUAUAAUGAUCAAUAAACGAUAAAUCAAUAUCUUGAUGAUUAUAUAAUAAUUUGACAUGUCUAUAAAUUAAUAAUCGACAAAUUAAAUCGAUAAAAUUCAAAAUCAAAUCAAAUCGAAUCGACCACGCAAUUACUUACCUCACAUUUGUGGUGGGCACAACUCCCAGGUAGGGGUGGUGGCCCAAACUCUGCAAUAUUAUCUCUAGCUAUUGAUAUCCACAAAUUAAAUUGAAUCUUAAUUUAUUUGGACAUCAAAAAUCAACAUCAAAAUCGACGAGAUUCCUUGAUUUUCGUAAAAUAAAAUAACAUUGGACUUUUUUUCUUAAUUUUAGUAUAAUUUUAAAUUUGCAAGAUUCCUUGAUUUUCGUAAAACAACAUUUUCAUUCUUUUAGUACUUAUAAUUUUACAAAACCAAUACAUAAAUAACACUGUUCUUUCCUAUUUUACCCUUUUUUAACAACCAACUAUUAUGAUUUAUGGUCACAUCACACACGUAUAGACUUCAAAGGUAAUGUUUAUACAAGUUCCAUUCAAGUUGAGUCUACUGCCAGAAUAAAUAAAAUAAUUUUUUUUAAUUUAAAAUUUUUAAUUAUUUUUUCUUUUAACAACAUUAAUCUCUCCUCACAUUAGCAAAAUAAGUAAAAAUGUUAGAAAUACUUAAAUCUAUCUUAGUUUUUAAAAAUAAUAAGUAUUUGGGGUCAAUUAUUUUUAGUAAUCAUGAUAAAUAAAAUGAACCAAUACUUUUAGGUAGGCACAUCGUCUCACCGACACUAACAAGUACUCUCUUUCAUUUACUUUUACUUAUCCGUUAUUUUUAAAAUAGAUUUUCAUUUUUAUGACUUUCAACGUAUUAAGAAAUUAAGUACAAUUUUUAUAUAUUUCACACUUAGCAGUAAUUAUUUAUUUUCUAAAUUAUUAUUUCUUAAGAGAUGUACGAGAUUUAAAAUGAACAAAUAAAAAUGAACGGAGAAAUUAACAACCAACAAUUUGUAGUGUAGGCAUUUAGAAACGUCACUUUAUUCUUCUCCCAUCACACAGUUCAAAAUGUCAUGUUGGUCUAACUUUAGUUAUCUAAAAAUCCAACAUAAUUCACUGUACUCCUUUCUUGGUUAAUCAUCUAUUUCAAAGUUUUUAAAAUUAUUUUGUUUUAGUUUCUUAUAAAUAUAUCCCAACUACCCCUUUUGAUUUGUCUCUUGCUGGACAAAGAAAAAUAUUGUGAGCCCUUAACUAAUUUUCUAUACGAAUGAGAGUAAUUUUAUAUUGAAGAAAGGUGUUUUUUUGUUAGAUUGAGUUUUAAACUCUUCAAUUAAUUUAGAGUUGUUUGAAUUAUACGAUGUUGUUGAGCUCAUGUUGUAUUCUAGAGGGGAUAAGCCAAGACUCAAGAUAUAUACUGCUGGAUCGGUGUAUGUUAUGUUACAGUAGAGUUUAAUUUCCUUAAAGAGAGUAAGAUAUCCGCACCUCAAUCUAAAUAUUUUAUUUAUUUAUUUUUUAUCAUUUUGUUUUUCAACUAUAAUUUGCUUUAAUUUGUGAUACAUAUACCAAUAUAUUUUAUUAAUAGACGUGCAAACAAAAACAUGACAAGUAAAAUGAUGCAAGAAAGUAUAAAACAAGCUAUAAAUAUUGAUAUAAUUAUGAAUUAUUUCAUAAAAAAUAAUAUAUUAUAAAGUUAAAAUAUUUUUAAACAUACUAGGUAUCAAUUUUUCCCCUAAAAAAAUCUUAAAAGAAAACAGUGAGAGUUGGCUAAUUCCAACUAUAUAUAGCUCAAUAGCAAACUUGAAACUUCUAUUAUAGUUUUCUACUAGUCAUGAAAGUAUGUAAAGCUAUUUGAUUGAUAAUAUAUAAAGCCAUCCACAAAGCCAAUUGAAAGUAUAUAUAGUGAUUCAAAUAAUACAUAUGUCAUAUAAAAGGAAGUUCCAACAAUAUGCUACCUUGUAUCAAUAUGUUUAGCUUACAUCUCAAAAUUAGUGUUUAAAAAGUUAGUAUUAAUUAAUUUAAAUAUUUCAGGCUCAAAACUCCUCAGACAUGUAUUGCAUUGUGGUCCAUUUAAAUACACACAAAUAGAUUCUUUGUGGUCAAGAUAGCUGUCUCUUCAUGUUUUUGUACAUAAUGUGUGGUUUCACUUCUUUGUGGAUGGAAUAAUAUAUUCAAUAUAGGAUCAGACAAAGACAUAAGUUUAAGUUUCAACAUCAGUAAUAUCAAGGUUUUCCUACUGUGAUUUAUUGAAAAAUUUAUGCUAUAGAAUAUAAGUUUUCCAUUCAUUUUUUACCGAAUCAGUUCAUUAAAAAAAUGCAUGGUGGAAAACAAAUUCUGACUGAACUUGUGGGAAAUUUCCUAUUUUGUUUUUCAUAUGAAAACAUUACUAUUUUUCUUUUCUCACCAAUUCUCAAUCAAAAUAUCUGAGGGAUAGCCACUGAACAUUUUCCAAUGAGAAAUUAUGUGGAAAAAAAGUGAUUUUUAAAAAGUGUCACAUGUCUAGGUCAUGAAAAAAAUUCAGACUUGUAUGUGAAAAAGAGUGUUAAUUAAAUUUCUCCUUAACCUUUUUCUAUGAAAUGAUCAUACUUCUCGUAAAAUAGUUACUAGUACUUUCAAAGACCUCUUUUCAGAUUUGACUUUGUAACAUUAUCCUCCUUUUGUGGUUUAUAAUGUUAUAUAUACUUAUCUCCUUUAUUAUAUUUUUUCAUAAUAAUUUUCUUACUUAUAUCUUAUUAAUACUAAAUAAUUAUAAUUGGACUAAUUUACCUAACACUACUCUAUUUUUAGGGGAAAUGUGCAGUUCUAUGAAAGUUCCAAAAUAAAUCACUCAUUCAAUCAUGAUUUCAUAGGAGGAUUUAAAAUUUCGAAGUUCUAAGUCCCAAGAUAAUAUGGGCCAAAAAGGCCAAGACUGGGUUGAAUUUAGAAGGAUUUUUCCAAGGGAGGGGAAGGUUGUCAACCAUCAAUAAAAUUCCGUCCCAUAUUAGUUGAUUAUUAUACUAAAUAUAGUUAUUUAUAUUAGUUAAUCACCUUACUAAAUCAAGAAAUCAUCAAUUAAUUUUUUUUAAUGUAAUAUCCUUGCAAUUACUUCUUUUUGAAAGAGUUCACAUUUGUUUGUGAAAUUUUCAAGAAGUUUUUUUAGGGGUGAAUUAGUAAAGUCGUCUUUUUAUUUAUGAUUUCUUAAGCAUCGUGCAAAAUGAAAAGUGAUCAACUAAUAUGGGACGGAGGGAAUAAUAAUGAUGUACUCUGUCUCAAUUAAUGUGUGUUAAUCGAAGUUUUGAGAUUUAAAUCGUUAAAUUUUGAUCGUAAAUUUGGAUAUACAAAUUUUAAGCUUUGCAAAAUAAAAUUGUAUAUUUAAAAGCUAUGCAAAGAGUGAAGUACAGUAAAUCAUAAUAAUUAAUAACUUAAAUAUUUAAAAGACAUAAAAAAAUAAUCAACAAAAUUUAGUUAACUUUUGAAAUUCCAACUAUGUGAUAUAAAUUGGAACAAAAGGAAUAGUUUAGAUAAAAUAUGCAUUCAUUUUAUCAUCUUUAGACUUUAUUUGUGAAAUUCCAUCGAAUUUAUCAUUGUAAAUGUGUGUGAGUGGCUCUCCUCCCUCCAACACCUAGGUAUAUGAGCCUAUUAUGGUCAUAUAUAUAAAUUUCAAAAUUUAAUGUCUUACACAUUGUUCUAUUCAAUAGGGUCUACUUCCAGCAUGUACCACUAAAUUCUUUAUCACAAAAAAAGAGUCCCAACAUCUAAUUCAUUCUCACCUACUUUAUUAGCAGUGAUACUUUGAUAAUUAAGAAAAAACAUCCCCUUUUAUUAUUUAAUCUUAAUCAUUUUCUUAUUUUUUUUUAGCUAAUCAUCCACCCUGACUUUCACUUUCUGUGAUAAUGGAGAGUUUGAUAUAUAAAAAAAUAAUUUAUUUUGCUAUGUUAAAUUUUGAUACUUCAACGACCUUUUAAGAUAUUAAUGGUCAGAUGAAGAAGGUUUUUGCGACUUUUCAUUACUUUUUAUUUACGAUUUGUUAUGAUGUAUUAAAAAUAAUAAGUUUUGCAUAAUUUUAAAAAAAAAAAAUUGUUUACAAAAAUACCCUUCACACUUUUUAGCUUUGAGAAAUGUAAAAUGUUUUGAGAGGGAUUUGAUGGGUAGUUAUCUGUUAUGUCAUUAAUCAAUCUAAUGCAUGUGUUGAAACUUGAAAUUACUUGUAUUACUAAUACAUGAAAAUUCAUGAUAAAAAAGUAUACCAAAAAGAUAUAAUAAUACACAAAGUUAAUACAUGCAUUAUUUCCAAGCAUAGGGACUAAAAUAAUACGAGACAAAAAAAAUUCUCUUAACAUAACUUGCUAAAAUCAACAAAUAAAAAAAUAAUUAUUUUUAAUAGAGGGACCAAAUAAAAAAUAAAACGGAGGAAAUAACUUUUAAAUAUAAAAGAGUAGUAUUAAUUUCUUAACUUUUUUCUUUAUGUUUUAUUUCUUAACUAUAAAUUAGAAAAACAGUACCAAGUAAUAAGGAGUAAUAUAAUAGAUCUACUUUUUUUUUGUUAUACUACAUUUGAAUUUAAAGAGUCUAAUUCAAAAUAUGAAUCACGUGGAUUCAACUUUCUAUCUCAAUAUUAAAUUUAUUACAUAUUUUUCAAAUUGUGAAUUCAGACUUAUUAGUUAUUGUAAAUGUAAAUCUAAUUAAAUUAUUAUAUCAAAAUUAUGCCCUACAAUAAAUAUUGAGUUUAAAACAAUUGAUGUCAUAAUGCUACAUUCACUUUUAAAGAACUUAUAACCACAUAAUAUAUGUUGGUUGGGAGAGGAAGGGGCUAGCCCAUGUCCUUUUUCUUUUUUAUUAGUAGUAAUUUAUAUCCUUUUUGGAUUUUCUUUUUUUACCGAAGGUUUAGCUAUUACAAACAACCUCUUUAUCCUGUAAAAAUAGAAAUAAAAUUUGCACAACAUCAUAUUCUCUUUGUUCCCACUUGCAAUAGUUAUCAAUGUAUAUAUUUGAUAUUUUGAAUUCAGACAUUAUUAUUUGUGGGCUCCCUCCAAACCCUAGGUAGAUGAAGCAUAAAUGUAUAAGAGUAAUUGUAGUGGUCAUAUGCAUAAAUUUUAGAAGUAAAAUCUAUAUAUAAAAGUUCUUUUCAAAUAGGGUCUACUGCCAGCAUAAUCUAUGGUACCACCAACUUGUUUUUUGUCACAAAAAAGUUCCCCAAGAAUUAAUUUAUUUUUAAUUGUUGACGAGUAGUGUCACACUAAAUGUAUACAAUAUCAAAGAACUACAUAGUUCAAACAUAUUCUUAGCACCCUGUAUGAAUCAAUUAAGGAAAGUAUUCGGCCAAGAUAUUUUCUUCAACAAGGAGAUAGAGAAUAAGGGUGUCAAUUGGGCCGACCUGUUCUAUUUCGGCCCAGUAAGACCGGUCCGCUAACGGCCCGCGUCCAGUAAGCCCAGGACCGACACCUGAUCCCCUUACUUAGUGGACUAUGCCGGUCCGGAUAUUUUUUAGGGCAAAUUGAGCGUUGAUACAUUAAUCUGAUGCGCGAGAUACAAUAAUAUAAUAUAAGCGUUGAUACAUUAAUCUGAUGCGCGAGAUACAAUAAUAUAAUAUAAGCGUUGAUACAUUAAUCUGAUGCGCGAGAUACAAUAAUAUAAUAUAAGCGUUGAUACAUUAAUCUGAUGCGCGAGAUACAAUAAUAUAAUAUAAGCGUUGAUACAUUAAUCUGAUGCGCGAGAUACAAUAAUAUAAUAUAAGCGUUGAUACAUUAAUCUGAUGCGCGAGAUACAAUAAUAUAAUAUAAGCGUUGAUACAUUAAUCUGAUGCGCGAGAUACAAUAAUAUAAGCGCUGAUACACUAAUCUGAUGCGCGAAAAUGAGGGACUUUGGAAAUUUAUAAAACUUAUAGGGGAUAAUGGUAAUAAGUAAACUAAAAGGUGAGAUUUCUGUAAUUUUUUCUAUUUUUUAUUCAGAGCCCAGUAAGGCCGGCCCGCGUACGGUAAGCCUGAGACUGACACCUGGGCCCCUUACUUAGUGGUCUGGGCUGAUCUGGAUACUUUUUGCUCAGAGCUCGGUAAGGCCGGCCCAGUAAGAGACUGAUCGACAACGCAUCGAUCUGGUAAGUAAAUUUUUGUGUGACGAUAUCAAUGAUUGUAAAAUUAAGGAAUGAACAGUUGCAACAAUCAUGUUCAAUUUCUUUUGACAAUUUUAGAUUGUGGUGCUUUGUAAUCAAGGGCGAGAAGGAAGUUCAUGGAAAGGUAGUUCACAUUGAUAAAUCACCAUACAACAUAGACUUGAUAUAUUCUUGAAGGAUAGGAAGGGAUUGGUUAUCAUCAUAACUAUACAUAAGAGGAACCAUUCUUGCAGAAUUAAGUGAAGCUUUUGAAAAUGAUCUUGAAGAUGGACUCAUUAGAUGUAAAUGUUCCUUGUUGAGUUUCUUCCAUUCAUCUUCUAUUAGAUUAAUCACAUGUUCUCUUGCCAAUUCAAUGGAAGUAUCUUUGUUUUCCUUCAUGUAACAUUCUAUGUAUGAACCAUCUUUUCCUUCUUGAUCCUCAUCCUGCACACACAACGCAUAUUCUAAAAAUGAUACAAACAUGUCACGUGUAAAGAUGAAAUUUCUUUUUGUUACCUUGGCACUUCCAAGAUCAUCCCAAAGGCGAAGAAUCGUAGCCACAGAAGAAGAUAUGGCUGAUACAUCUUCCAAAUGAAUAGAACUAACACCAAGACCUAAGAGAUAGAACAUGUGAACUAAGACUGCUUGAACUCCCGAACUAACAAGUCCAUUCUUUAGGUACUCAUUUGUUGAUGGCACCACUCCAGAAGCAAACCAUUUUGCUUCUUUUAGAAAUGCAUUGCACAAAUUUCCCCACUAAAAUUCAAA